AAUCUUGCUGGGGGUCUGGCUCUCGAGAUUCGGAGAGCGGUGUCUCUUCGAUUUUUGAGAAAGUAAUCAUGUUGAGAGUCUGGCUCUCGAGAUUCGGAGGGCGGUGCCUCUUCGAUUUUGGAGCAAGCAAUCUUGUUGGGAGUGUUUUCUCGAAUGUGAGUAAAGGUUGGGCGUGUUUGCUAGUCUACCUUGCCACGAAGCACAGAGGUUGACACACAGGGACUUUCCAAUUAUCCAGCAGUGGUACUGUUCCUUUACCCUCUCUUCGAUUUUUGAGAAAGUAAUCAUGUUGGAAGUCUGGCUCUCGAGAUUCGGAGGGCGGUGCCUCUUCAAUUUUGGAGCAAGCAAUCUUGUUGGGAGUGUUUUCUCGAAUGUGAGUACAGGUUGGGCAUGUUUGCUAGUCUACCUUGCCACGAAGCACAGAGGUUGACACACCGGGACUUUCCAAUUAUCCAGCAGUGGUACUGUUCCUUUACCCUUGUGGGUAAUAAUAUGGUAGCUAGACCUUCAAAAUUUAUGUG
rnacentral:lncRNA from 1 species